rnacentral:rRNA from 1 species
GAUGAACGCUGGCGGCGUGCCUAAUACAUGCAAGUCGAGCGAACGGACGAGAAGCUUGCUUCGUGGAUGUUAGCGGCGGACGGGUGAGUCACACGUGGAUCAUCUACCUAUAAGAGUGGGAUAACUUCGGGAAAGCGGAUCUAAUACCGGAGAAUCUUUUGAACCGCAUGGUUCAAAGGUAAAAGACGGUCUUUCUGUCACUUCUAGAUGCAUCUGCGCUGCAUUGUCUAGUUGUUAAGGUAACGGCUUGCCAAGGCAACGAGGCAUAGCCGACGUGUUAGGGUGGUCGGCGGCACUGGAGCGGGGACGCGCACAUGAGUACUGCGGUACGGAGCAGAAGGGAAUCGUACGCAAUGGGCGAGAGUCUGGCGGAGCGACGGGGCGUGUGUUACGAAGGUCCUCCGAGCGUAAAACUCUGUUAUUAGUGAAGAACAGAUGUGGAAGGAACUGUGCACAUCUUGACGGUACCGAGUCAGAAAGCCACGGCUAACUACAUG